ANUCGGUUCUUGACGUUGUGAGAAAGGAGGCCGAGAACUGUGAGUCUCUGAUAGUCUGACUGCCUCCAAGGUGAAGUUACCCUUUGUCCUUGCAUUUGCCAUUUUUAUAUUUUCAUAUGUAUGUCUGUUGAAAGUGUUAUACAUGAUACAGAUAUGCUAUAAGUUGGAUCUCGUGACUUUUUUUUUUUUGUUGGUCAUUUACAUUUAUUUGCUAGUAUUUGGGAAAAUCAGCCUUUGUGUGCAUUUAUGUUUGCAAUUGGGACACAAGGUAGAGGGUAAAAGACGGAGGUGGUGGGUUUCUUGAGGUUGGUUUUGUUCUCCAAAAUAAAUUAUUACACUGUGAGCUGAUAAAGAAUCGGCACAUUUUAAUCAAAUAUUCAUAAUUUUUUGAUCCUAUUACGUGAAUCCUUUGCUUUUACAAAUUUGUAAAUCUACUUACUUUCUCUUUUCAACUGGUAAGGAUGAAAUGAAAAUAAUAAGUAAAUUAAUGAGCUUUUGAACAUCUAGAAUGUUUGAAAUAGUCCUCAUGAGCCAAUUGUGCAUCUUCAGUUGUGGUGCAGUGGUGCAAUUCAUGCUUUUUAUCAGAGUGAAAACAUUGAUUAAAAAUAUCAAAGCGAGUCACUACUUUUGAGUUUAAGGAACAGAUAACUGAAGAAAUGUUGGCAGAGAUGACUUUUAGAAUCUUUUAAACGAACUUCUUCUAGACACAUGUUAUUUGAGUCCAAUCCUUUACUUCAUCAAUUGUUUAACAGAUGAUCAGUUUAACUUCUAGACAACAGAGAGUAUAUUUGCACAUAGAGAGUAUAUUUGCACAUAGUUUAUUUGCACAUAGUUUAACUUCUAGACACAUUGUUUAACAGAUGAUCAGUUGUUUCAAUUUGUUUGGGGACUUUUAGUUUUUGUUUAAUAUUCUUGUUGUAUUCACUACUUAAUUAACUUAUUAUUUCCAGUCAAUGAUAACCAAAAAUAUUGCCAUCCAUCAUUCUAUUGGAGUCAGAGACACAUUAAUUCUAGUGUGAUUAUCAAGUAAGAUCAAUUUCGUCAAUGGCUAUCACCAACUUCAAGAACAGUUUUUCGAAUUUUCAUCAGAAACUUUCUAUUUUGUAAUAACUAUAACCUAAGAAAUAUUUUCAUCACUGAUGAAAUUUUCUGCCAGUUAUGUCAAGAGGUUUAAUAAUGUUAGUUUUCUCUGUCUUAGUUAACCUUUAGUUGUCUGUUUUUUCAGCUUUUCUAAAUGUUAAUUGAGUGGGGUAGUUUCUUAUGGAGGAUACACUUAGUGUUUCAUAGGUUGGGUUGUGUUGGAAAUGUCUGUUGUGAACUAUUAUUGUAGUUAAGAGUUUU
rnacentral:lncRNA from 1 species